CCAUCGGUGGUUCAGUGGUAGAAUGCUCGCCUGCCACGCGGGCGGCCCCCUGGGUUCGAUUCCCGGCCGAUGCU